AACGAACGCUGGCGGCAUGCCUAACACAUGCAAGUCGAACGAGAGCUUCAGGUCUAUUGUCGCACGGUUUCGUAACGCGUGGGAACCUUCCCUUAUGGUCGGAAUAACUCCCCGAAAGGGAUGCUAAUACCGGAUAAUGUCUUCUGACCAAAGAUUUAUCGCCUUUGGAUGUGCCCGCGUUGGAUUAGCUAGUUGGUAGGGUAAAAGCAUACCAAGGCGACGAUCCAUAGCUGGGCUGAGAGGAUGAUCAGCCACACUGGGACUGAGACACGGCCCAGACUCCUACGGGAGGCAGCAGUGGGGAAUAUUGGAAAAUGGGCGAAAGCCUGAUCCAGCAAUGCCGCGUGAGUGAUGAAGGCAUUAGGGUUGUAAAGCUCUUUUACCCGGGAUGAUAAUGACAGUACCGGGAGAAUAAGCCACGGCUAACUACGUG
rnacentral:rRNA from 1 species